CUGAUCCACCUCUUUAACAGUUUGAUUUUUCCAUAGGGAAAGCAUUGGAUUGGCUGAAGUCGGCAUGGAGGUGGGAUGAGGUCAGGCUAAAGGCUAUUUAGUCCAAUCACCACUUCCUCAGAGAUGCAUUGAUUUAAUGCAUCUGAAAUAAUUUCAGCGUCUCCAUGAACAGCAGCACUGACCCAGCCGCCAGGAAGCCCCU